GCCUGGGUGGCUCAGUCGGUUAAGCGUCCGACUUCAGCUCAGGUCAUGAUCUCACGGUUCGUGGGUUCGAGCCCUGCAUCAGGCU
rnacentral:tRNA from 1 species